ACGAACGCUGGCGGCGUGCCUAAUACAUGCAAGUCGAACGCUUCUUUCCUCCCGAGUGCUUGCACUCAAUUGGAAAGAGGAGUGGCGGACGGGUGAGUAACACGUGGGUAACCUACCCAUCAGAGGGGGAUAACACUUGGAAACAGGUGCUAAUACCGCAUAACAGUUUAUGUCGCAUGGCAUAAGAGUGAAAGGCGCUUUCGGGUGUCGCUGAUGGAUGGACCCGCGGUGCAUUAGCUAGUUGGUGAGGUAACGGCUCACCAAGGCCACGAUGCAUAGCCGACCUGAGAGGGUGAUCGGCCACACUGGGACUGAGACACGGCCCAGACUCCUACGGGAGGCAGCAGUAGGGAAUCUUCGGCAAUGGACGAAAGUCUGACCGAGCAACGCCGCGUGAGUGAAGAAGGUUUUCGGAUCGUAAAACUCUGUUGUUAGAGAAGAACAAGGACGUUAGUAACUGAACGUCCCCUGACGGUAUCUAACCAGAAAGCCACGGCUAACUACGUGCCAGCAGCCGCGGUAAUACGUAGGUGGCAAGCGUUGUCCGGAUUUAUUGGGCGUAAAGCGAGCGCAGGCGGUUUCUUAAGUCUGAUGUGAAAGCCCCCGGCUCAACCGGGGAGGGUCAUUGGAAACUGGGAGACUUGAGUGCAGAAGAGGAGAGUGGAAUUCCAUGUGUAGCGGUGAAAUGCGUAGAUAUAUGGAGGAACACCAGUGGCGAAGGCGGCUCUCUGGUCUGUAACUGAC
rnacentral:rRNA from 1 species